AUUAACAUAUUUUUAAGAAGAAAUAACUACAAAAACAAAGAAAUUCACUGACUGAGACUUUGCAGGACUUAUGAGAGAAUCAGAGAACCUCUUCUUUGCUUCCUGCACAGCCUUUCCAUAAGGAUCCAAGCAGUCUUUAUGACACAAUAAAGAAGCUUCAGCUUGAGAUUUCUGCCACCUGCUCUCUAAGUUUCCUCCUGUUUUAUUUGUUGCAGGACACCUGUAAACCCAGGCGAUAUUGGAACGGAGCCAGAGAAGGAGGCCUGUAGAAAGCACCCAACUGAUGGCUGAAGAUAAAAAGAUGAUUAUAGAAUCCUACCAAAAGCUCAAUGGAGUGAUCUGUCAAAUAAACCAUAUCUUCACUCAGGACCUUCUGGAAGUACUCUCAUUCCAUUAACCCUCGUGGACAGUCCAUCAAAACAGAACCUGGUCCCUAACAGGGAGUUGUAUUGCAUGAGCCGUGUCCACAUCAAUGCACUUAAGGAAACUAUAGCUACUGAAUGAACUAAUUCUUUAUGCAUGAUAAAUAAUGAUGGAGUGAAACUAUUUGAAGAUAACUUUCAUUGGACUUGAAAUGCCAACUGCAUCUGCCACACAUCACCCACAGUAUCAGCUUCGUCAAUGAAAUAUCAGGAGUACCCUGCCUGUAUCAGUUCCCCAGAGGCCAUCUUUGACUCCUUCUCUGGCUGUGCUUGUACAGAUGUCAACUGUGGAUAAAGAUAGCUCUAGAAAGAAACUGAUGAAGGAACUGCUACUUAGCAAGAGAUGUUGUGGUCCAGUGAGGAGGACAGAGGACUGUGAGGCAAGUGCCCUGGGAUUUACUCCCAGAUCUGCCUGAACUCCCUCUUUAUCCUUAAGCAAGUCACUAAAAUAUUUCUGCCCCUCAGUUUCUUCAGCUGUAAAAUCUGAGAUCUAUAGAAGAAAACUGCCCUGUCCUCAUCAUUAUUUACUACUCUGCUAAGUAUUAUUGCUUUAUGGCCGAGAAGGACGGAAACUGGUAUAAAUGUGUGAGAUGCAGAAUACCACCAGUCAAUACUGUCAAUGCACAGACACCAGAGAGUACGGUCCAGAUAACAAAGCUGUAUCAAUUUACACCAGCUGAGACGCUGGUCCAUUUGUUUGUUCCAAGAAGUAAAAUGAAGGGUAGAUGUUUGAAAGGCCAGGAAUCUGAUUAGGUCAUUAAAAAUAAGUGAACAAAUUUAAUGUAAAAAGUGAGUUGUCCAGAAGAAUUCUAGAGACUUGAACAUCAAUAAUCGUUAAGAAUUACCCAUAUUUCCCUGUUAAAAAGUAUCCAUUCCCAGGUUUACCAGUUUUCAAUAGCCUCCUCAUUUAAAAUAAUUUUUACAGUUAGGGCUGAAAAAUAAUUCCACGUUAACUCAUCACCGCUGCUUGAUCAUGAGUCUCUCUAAGCAUCAUUUCUAAUGGAAUAGCCAAGCAAACUGAAAAAUAACAUUCCUGGCUGUUCAGCACUCUAUAUCCUCCUGCAGCAUUAAACGGCCUAUAUACGAAAGGAACGUUUCAAACACUUAACAUUCAUUUAACAUUCUCAAGUGUAAAAUGAAAGUUCUUCAUUAUUGUAUAGUCUGUUAUCUGUCAGAAUAAUCCUUCCAAGGAGUUAGACACAUUAUUAUUAUGGAGUUACUGGUUGUGACUCCAUCAUUAAGGCGGUCUUGAAAAAUGCAGUUAAAGUGAGUUCCAUUAAUUUUUAUAGGUACAACAAAAAUAUUUCCUCCCCAAAGUCACACCUCUGAUUAAAGGCAUAUAGACUGAAUAUUUGUGAAAGAUUUAAGUGACUGAAUUGAAAAGGUUAAAAGUAAGAAGAAUUUUGUAAAUGCCCCCUUUAUGAAAAUUUUCACUAGUUUAAAACAUUUCUUUGGAUCUCUCUAAUUAAAACAUAGGAAAGUUAUAUUUACCACAUAGCUAUUGUUAGUGUCUCCAGUUUAUGGUAUGUGCUGAAUUAAUAUUUACAAAAUAAAUAAUUUAUUUACUUUUGUGUCAGAAUUUCUUCCAUUUACUCUAAGACAAAUGACACAACCAGGAUAUUCAUAGGGGCUAGGACAAGAUGUCAAGUACCUGCAGCAGUGCUGCAUGCAGUAGCCCCGCUCUCAGUGGCUGCCUUCUGCAUCAUACCUUGAAGCUCUAUACCCUCCAGUCAGAGGGUUCAUCUACUCCUUGUUUCUGUCCCCACCAGUGUAAAGUGCAAUAUUGUAAGAAACAGCAUAGUAUAUGUUAUACCAAUGGAAUAAAAACCAGCAGGAUCUUAUUAAGAGGGAUAAGGCAAAGAUGCCACAUUUAUUGUAAAUAUAAUAAUAA